rnacentral:rRNA from 1 species
UGGGGAAUAUUGGACAAUGGGCGCAAGCCUGAUCCAGCCAUGCCGCGUGAGUGAUGAAGGCCCUAGGGUUGUAAAGCUCUUUCACCGGUGAAGAUAAUGACGGUAACCGGAGAAGAAGCCCCGGCUAACUUCGUGCCAGCAGCCGCGGUAAUACGAAGGGGGCUAGCGUUGUUCGGAUUUACUGGGCGUAAAGCGCACGUAGGCGGACUUUUAAGUCAGGGGUGAAAUCCCGGGGCUCAACCCCGGAACUGCCUUUGAUACUGGAAGUCUUGAGUAUGGUAGAGGUGAGUGGAAUUCCGAGUGUAGAGGUGAAAUUCGUAGAUAUUCGGAGGAACACCAGUGGCGAAGGCGGCUCACUGGACCAUUACUAACGCUGAGGUGCGAAAGCGUGGGGAGCAAACAGG